CACAGGGCACACUUUUCUUGUAUCUUGUAGAGCGUGCAUUUCCCAGUCCUUUGCUCUUACCGUGCCCUGUGACUAGACUAACUCUCCUUGCGUUCUGUCUUCAUUGAUUUUUUUUUUUUUUUCUUCAUUCUUCCACAUCGGAUCCAAAGGCCUCUGUGGAGCCUUCCUUCCCAGAGUCCUCUGGCUCAGGUGAUAUCCUUUCCUCUCUCUCUGGGCAAUUUGUUGUUGACAAGGGGUUGGAUUUGCACAUCUGCCUAGAUGCUCUUCUCUUCUAUCUGAGGACAGACACACUGUGGAUGUGCAUUGGUUUCUUCAACUGCCUAUUGGAGGAGAAUACUUAUAGGGAAUACAAUCGAUGUUUCACUGACUUUACUCCUGGCCCCUGGAGUCCAAUCCAGUGUAGCUCGUGAAUACGACUUUAAAACUGACUUGCUGAGCCAAGUACCGAAGCCAUUCAACUUUGUCUCCCAAAGAAUUUCUUUCCCUCACUUGGGAACAUCAGGUGAGCCCGGAGUGUCUGAAGGGAUGUAUAUUGCCCAUCUACCUCACAUAUGGACAUGAAGUUCUUUUUGUGUCUGAGAAGACCCCUUAAAUUUUCUUCUCAAUAA